UGGAAAACUGCAAGCACGGCAGAUGCCAAAACCCCUUUCCUGUGCCUGAAAGAGAACUUCUGGAGAUUUUCCAAAUGCAGACCAAGAGGGAUUGAGCUCUCCUCUACCCUGCCUGGCCCAGAAGUUCCAUUUCCUACCUCCUUCUAGCAGGGGAGCAGGGGCCUUCCUUGGUGGCCCCCAGGAUGGCCCUAUCUCAGAAAGACACAACCACGACUUCUCUGUAUAAUAGACACCACCACACAAAGUUCCUGGGUGUCCUUCGAACUUGGACAACCUCUGGCCUGGCAGUGUCCUGAAGAAAUUGACAACCCUCCAUCUGGACCUCCGCAUAAGUUUAAAAACCUAGCAACAUAGCUCCUCUGCAGGAGACAGGAGACAAGUGCUGGUGUAACCGAGUCUCUUGGAACAAUGGGAAGCCUUUCGGGAGGAUUAUUGGAAGAAAAUCCAGAGGGAGGGGGCUUGCUUAAAGAGAGUGACCACAGCCAG
rnacentral:lncRNA from 1 species